GUUAAUAGGAAAUAACAGUCCAUAUUCUCCAAGCAAGUUUUCUCCUGUUCACUAUAACGACAUCACAAUGACAUCAUUAGAUACCAGGUGAAUAUAUAAGUUUAAGUGAAAACCAGCAAAAUCUCAUUAGAGUAUUUUAGGUGGAAAAAUUAGUGGAAAUUGUCCAGUCUGAAUUCCACUUUCCUUUUGAUAGUAACUCUUAGUCUUAUUUUUCUAGUCACAUGGCAAAAUAUCCAUCUCCAAGUAACUCACCAUGUAAGUCAUUUUUCAUGUUAUUCAAUUAAGAAUUCCUUUAGCCUGUGAACAGGCUCUCAAGCUGAAUUGAGAGCCUGCAUCAAUGACUGAUGAAUUUGAAUAUCUGCCCCGUAAUGUUCGUUUUUCCAAAUAUGGAAUGUCUAUCCUUAUAUGGUGUUGUUUACAACUUUAGUGCAUACUAAAUUUAGACCGUGCAAACUAAAUUUAGACUGUACAGUUUAUACUGUUUUUCGAAAUAUAAGAUAUUCAAGCAAAAGUUCAAAUGUUUUAAAUACUGUUUUCUCAAAACAGAACAUUUGUGCUUUGAGAUAAGAGGCCAAACAUCUGACCAAUGAGAAUUUCGCGUCACGAUUUGAGACGCAGAUAUUCAAAUUCAUUAGUCAUCGAUGCAGGCUCUCAAUUCAGCUUGAGAGCCUGUUCGCAGGCUAGAAUUCCUUAAGAAUUCUUACAUGUAGUUGAUGAUGACAUUAAAAAUGAAGUAUAUAUUUGUAGUUUCAGAUGAUCGUAUUAAGAAUGUUGAUGCUCUGAAUAGUUAUUUGCAAACAGAGGAAGAUAGGAGAGAAAUGUCACACAGGG